AUCACCUGAAGUAGUGGUUUGAAUAUGAUUAUAUAUGUUAUCUAAAUGAAUGGGACCUUUAGUCUGAGUUAUUCUUUGACCCUAAAUAAUAAUAAACCAAGGGCAUGGGAGUGCCUAAUCAAUGAUUAACUUAUUUUAAUUUUACUUUUACUUUAAAAUUGAUCCUUGAAUACAACUUUUGUUCCAGGUGAAGACUCAGGUACAGUUUAAGCUAAUUAAUUGAUUUUUAUAAGGACAUAGAUUUUUGUCUGUGAGCACUGGAUGUGUGCUAAUUGUUAUCUCGGGUUUUCAAUGAAACCUUAUUAAACAAUUGGACAAAUGAAGUCUUAUAUUUAUGUAACCCAGAUCUCCUGGGCCUGAGUUCGUAAACACAAAAAAAAAUGAAUAUGAUCUCAGAAGAAUAUUUGAAACGAAUCUUAUCUUUUGUUUAAAUUCCUCUAAUUAAUAUUAAAGACCACCACAACUGUAUUUUAAAAGUCAAAACCUUCACAGGUGUUUAUUUACAAUAGGAAAUAAAUGAAAAGGCUGUGAAUUCCUCUCAGGAAGUAAAAUAUUUACAAAACAAAAUAAAUGCACAAAAUAAAAUACAGGGUCUCUUUAAAUUGUUUAAACUGUUCCUUUGACUUCUCAAUUUACCCUUUAAUUCACUGGUUAAAUAAAAUCUUUACCUUUCACAGGUCUCUGAAUAAAAACAAACACAAUUCCUAUCAACUGUAAAUUAACUCACAAACAUCACAUGUGGGCCCACUUCAGAAAUGAUCAACUUGAAACUUAGUUGCAGGCCUGUAGUGAUGCUCGGGUGCGGUGAGGCCUGAAAACUGAGUGGCCACUUCACUCAAUCAAGAGCAUAAAAUAAAAGCACGUGCAUUGUCAUAUCAGUUCGAUACUCACAGGUCCAAAACGAGGAGCAAUGGGGCAACGACAGUCACAGAAAGGGGUGAUGGCAGUCACAAUCCGAACACAGGCAGCACACACAGUGGCGAAAAUCCAGGGAAGAAUAAAACAGCAGGGUCCAUCCACCAGCAACCAUCUCAGUUUCUCUCUCUCUUCACAGACGUCCGUCUCCUUUAAUUACAUGAACUCUUUUGAGCCAUAAUAUCAUCACGCUAAAUCGUACUGACUUAACGUUAGCCCGUUUUAGCAUUGAAAACAACAGUGCUAAAGCUAAGAUAUACAGACACAUUUCAACCUUUCGAAUUGGCUCUCCUACAACUGAACCAGAACCCCUCCCCUCCCACUCCUCCCCCUCCUGCAUUCUGGAAGGUCCCAGCAGCUGCUUUGGUAAAUUUCACUGUUGACUUAAUAACAUACUUUCAGUAAAAAUGUAAAUGUGCCUUGAUUUGUUCAUGUAAGUGCAUUUAGCAAUUAAAAAUUCAGAAAGUUAGCAAACACAUGCACAUGCAGAAUAUAAAUGUCCAUUAGAAAUGUAAAAUAACGUGGGAUCUGUCACAUGUUUAAUGUCACAUUUAAAGUAAAUGGCGGUAAGUUGUCCUGAUCAUGGGAAGCUAUGGUGGAGGGGUAGAGCGGUUACCAGAAGGGUAGCAGUUCAAUCCCCAGUUUGCCUCAUCUGCAUGCUGAAGUGUCCUUGAAUAGAAAAAAAAAGUUCUGCUAAUAGACGCACUGUAUGAAUGUGUGUGAACGACAAUGAAUGGCAAACUGUAGUGUAAAGCGCUCUGAGUGGUCAUCAAGAUUAGAAAAGCUCUAUAUGAAUACAAACCAUUUACCAUCACUUGUCAUCCUCUCCCUGUCAGAGGCCGGAGAGAAGUGAGGAAAGGCAUGGGCACAAUAAAGAUAGGCAUGCUGCAGAUCAUUGCAACCAACCUCCACCACCAUGGUAGUCAAUAAUUACCAUCUCUCCUGAAGUACUGUGGUUUCAUUUCUGUCCGGGUGUAUUUGUCAACCUAAAUGAGCUGAAACCAACACCAAGGUUACUGGCAGCACUGCUUGCACACAGCAACACAGCCAUUCACCCAAUCAAGUUUACCUGGGUUUUAGUCAAGGUAUAUAUGCUUCAGUGGGAUACAGCUGACAGGCCUAAUGGUCAAUUCCUUUUGAAUUGACCAAUUGACCUUAGGAACAAAUCAUUUAACCAGUACUUCACAUACUGCGAAGUAACACUAUGAACUGAAAAACAUUAGAUGCACAAGUUACCAUGUAAAAUAAACACUAUAUAACAAGAAAACAAUGGUAGCCUUGUCAUAGCACCACAUUACACCGCUUACACAUAUAUAAAGUUUUACCUUAAACAGACCAUUAGUUUUAGCCAUUAAUUUUCAACAAUAUUUUAUAGUAUUAAACAGUAUAGU
rnacentral:misc_RNA from 1 species